GUCAUUGACUUCCUUCAAAAAAAUGUUUAAAACAACUGUUAUUUUGAAUUUCUGGUUAUAACACGAACCUCGGGGAAUGCCAUUAUGCUAUUUUAUGCCACGAUCAAGAACAAUCGUUACAUUCAAGAAAUAGAAUUUUAGAGCUUCGCUCAUCUAUGUGCCAGCACUCAGAUACUGUCAUAAAACGCGGAGUUUCCAUACGACGACCAACCUAACGGCUCCCGCGUGAGAUCGCGCAUUCUCUGGAAUAUUUCACAGGGGUUGUCCACACGAUCACUUCGGCGUACAUCCUAUUCUACUUCCAAGAACACAAUACGCUGAAAGCGUAACGAAAGUGAGGACACGAAAUCUUCUCUUUCAGUAUAUAUAUACAGCUGGUCGACAACGAGUGGGAUGGAGUAAUGAAAGAGCAGCUAAAAAGGGAAAGAGAGACUGGAAUCUCGAGGUAGCUUGUUGUUCGAGAGCGAGGAGUACGACUCUUGUUCGAUGAUUUAAGAAUCAACUUGGCCCCUCCUCGACCCCAAUCUCCACGGAAUCCCCGGUUUCUGACCUUACCUCCAACUUCAGAAAAGAAGAGGAAAUUCAAUCCGUGCAAGAUCUUUCUCAAGUUCUUUCGAUACUAUGCAAUGUUCGUCUCAGCUUCAUAUUGACAUUUCGAGACUGCAUUUAAUGCUAAACCUUUGUCAUUUGCUGGUUACGUUCGUCUUAACUAGUAAAUUAUUUACAAUUGAUAUACACGCUGUGUUUAACAAUAUUCCAAGGAUUAUCGUUUAUUAUUUCUCCAUAAAUUGUGGUCGCAUAACGUAUAAGUAAAAGUAAGACAAAAUUAUUAAUGUUAUAAAAUUUUAGGUCAACGAUUAAUGUUGUUGGUUUAAAACACUUAAUGAUUAGGUAGAAAGAAGGAAAUUUCCAUAAAACUACCACAUAUACUUUUGAUAAAAUUUUAUAAUUAUUCCAUGAUAAUGACAUGUUUGUGUACAAUACCACUUUGGGAAAACCAGCAAAGAAACAUGUGCCUUGGUUAUAAUAAAAAAAGGUAACAUUUAUUUAAAAAAACGUAAUUCAAUAAAAUAAUAUAAAACAA